rnacentral:rRNA from 1 species
AGCGGCAGGCUUAACACAUGCAAGUCGAGGGGUAACGAUGGUGCUUGCACCAGGCGACGACCGGCGAACGGGUGAGUAACGCGUGUGCAACCUACCCAUAACUUGAGAAUAGCCCGAAGAAAUUGAAAUUAAUACCCCAUAGUAUUAUAAUACCGCAUGGUAUAAUAAUUAAAGUUCUGACGGUUAUGGAUGGGCAUGCGUGCCAUUAGCUAGUUGGUGGGGUAACAGCCCACCAAGGCGAUGAUGGCUAGGGGGUCUUAAAGGAUGGUCCCCCACACUGGUACUGAGACACGGACCAGACUCCUACGGGAGGCAGCAGUGAGGAAUAUUGGUCAAUGGGCGCAAGCCUGAACCAGCCAUGCCGCGUGCAGGAAGACGGCCCUAUGGGUUGUAAACUGCUUUUAUAUGGGAAGAAAACGUUCUACGUGUAGAGCAUUGACGGUACCAUAAGAAUAAGCAUCGGCUAACUCCGUGCCAGCAGCCGCGGUAAUACGGAGGAUGCAAGCGUUAUCCGGAUUUAUUAGGUUUAAAGGGUGUGUAGGCGGAACUUUAAGUCAGUGGUGAAAUCUUUCGGCUCAACCGGAAAACUGCCAUUGAUACUGGAAUUCUUGAGUAUAGUUGAGGUAGGCGGAAUGUGUAAUGUAGCGGUGAAAUGCUUAGAUAUUACACAGAACACCGAUUGCGAAGGCAGCUUACUAAGCUGCGACUGACGCUGAUGGACGAAAGCGUGGGUAGCGAACAGGAUUAGAUACCCUGGUAGUCCACGCCGUAAACGAUGAUCACUCGUUGUGUGCGAUACAUUGUACGUGACUGAGCGAAAGCAUUAAGUGAUCCACCUGGGGAGUACGUUCGCAAGAAUGAAACUCAAAGGAAUUGACGGGGGCCCGCACAAGCGGAGGAACAUGUGGUUUAAUUCGAUGAUACGCGAGGAACCUUACCUGGACUUAAAUGUAGUGCAUAAACGGGAAGCUGUUUUUUCCUUCGGGACUCUUUACAAGGUGCUGCAUGGUUGUCGUCAGCUCGUGCCGUGAGGUGUCGGGUUAAGGCCCAUAACGAGCGCAACCCCUAUCGUUAGUUGCCAGCGAGUCAAGUCGGGGACUCUAACGAGACUGCCGGUGUAAACCGCGAGGAAGGUGGGGAUGACGUCAAAUCAGCACGGCCCUUACGGCCAGGGCUACACACGUGUUACAAUGGCCGAUACAAAGGGCAGCUACCAGGUGACUGGAUGCUAAUCUCUAAAGUCGGUCUUAGUUCGGAUCGAAGUCUGCAACUCGACUUCGGGAAGCUGGAUUCCCUAGUAAUCGGAGAUCAGCAACGCUACGGUGAAUACGUUGCCGGGCCUUGUACACACCGCCCGUCAAGCCAUGGAAGCUGGGGGUACCUGAAGUCUGUCACCGCAAG